ACACUGCAAGGUAUAUUCUACUCUUCUCAUUGUGCAGAAGUAGAAACACAGGAUCUAAAAGGGUCACAGAACUCAUCAUCUGCUCCUACAAAGUGACAGAGUGUGUGUGAGCACCUGUUUGAACUGAUGAGAUGUCAUCUGUAAUCCUUGGCAACAAAGUGCAGGAGUCAGAAGGUGUCAAGUAUUGUGUAUCAGCGACAAAGAAAAUAACUAAGACAACCAUUAUGGAAAUCUGUAUGGAGAUUCCUCAAAAGUAAAAAUGGAAAUUUCACUUGACCCAGCUAUACCUCUCCUGAAAGAAUUAAACACAUGAUACUAUAGUGACACAUAUGUAUCCAUGUUUAUAGAAGUAUAAUUCACAAUAGCUAAACUCUGGAAACAGCC
rnacentral:lncRNA from 1 species